AAACUGUCUCGAUGUUUGUCUGUCGUCAGUGUGUUUCUUAUGUAACACGGGUCCAACAAUAACCUUUAACUGUUGCUCUGUAAUUCUAAGCUUUUCUAGAUUUUGCCUCACAAAUAUGGAUGUAACAAAUCUCUAAAUUAAUCAGAUCAGGCAUUGGCUAGUUCACCAACCAGGCAGUUUUUCUAUUGGUGUUACCUGACCUCAUUCUCUGUUUACGUCCCAGAAAUGGUCAUACAAAAAAGGUCCAAAAUCAUCAGGUUCCUACAAUGUGUGUACGGCCAAAUUUGUUCUUAUCACUGUGCGUUAUUGGUGAAUCAUAAUUAUACAGGCCCAGUUUAGUGGUGAGGUUGUUUUAACAGAGAAAUCUGCCUUGUUAAAGCAAGACGAGGUCUAACUAAAGAAAAACAGGAUAGUGUCAGAGGAGGAAUUUGAAAAGGUACAUUUUCCAGUGUCUUUCAUGACAAUUUGUACUGUUUGAAUGUGUAGAACCAUGUAGUGUUUUAUAUUAAUAUAUUGAAUAUUACAUCAUCGUAGCAGAGGAGCUUCUUGAAUAAUCCAUCUUGACUUUUCAUUUUGCAUUUCUGUGUGUGCCACAAUAGACACAAGCCUAAGUAAUGAGGACAAAGUGCUGUGAAUGUCAUCAUAAGGACAUAUUAGAAGUUAUCUAAUGGAUGGGGUAUUAUUUUGAUACAGUUGCUAAAUAUAUUCUAAAAUUGGCAAAGCUGUUAUAAAACGGAUUAGAGUUAAGAUCUUUGACAGUUUCUGUACUUUAUAUUUUGGAUAUUUGGAUAUAUUUAGUUCUCAAGGAGUAUUUUUGUUUGGUAUCUACCCUUAAACAAAAAUACCAAAGUGUAGUGAGAAGAAAAACUGUUUGCUUUCAUUCUGUUUGUCUUCUUUCUCGCCCUGUCCUCCUCCCUCUUCUUCCGCUGUAUUUAUUGUGCAUCGGUUUGUCUCGGAGGCUUUUUGAUCGAUUUUGACACAGUUAAGUAUAGUGUGCUUUUUGGCCUUAUUAGUAGGAGGUGGCUCAUGGAAAAAGCAGACAUUAGCAUAUCGUUUGAACUUGUGGUGGAGCAAAAAUAAAAUGUAUGUUUGUCCUCGCUGUCUGCAAAUAGCCCCUGCUCUCUGUCUGAAGUUCCAAUGGCUCUAGCAGCUGUGCGUGCCCAUGUGUGUAACCAGUGAGAAGACUCUGGUAUGGCACUCUGUGGUUUUCAUUGUAUGAUGUACAGUCUGGUCACUUCAUUCACAGGGUAAACAUUUGGCAUCUGCCUAGGAGCAUAUUUCUUAAGUAAAUAUAAGACGUUUGAAUAACAUUAAGAAUUCUCCUGCGGGUGUUAAAUCAUGUGGCCCAUAUUUUUGUGUUCACAUAAGCACGUACAAUAAGGCUUCAGUAUUCUCCAGGCUGUUUUCAUUGGACAAAUUUGUCUGUGGUGUGAAAAACUGUUUUUAUUCUGUCUGUAGCAUGAUGUCCAUUUUUAUUAGCGAUGCACUGGUUCUAUUAGCAAAAGCUAAGGCGUCGAAAUAAUGUUUGCAAAUACUAGAUAAUAACGUAAUAUUUGUUUUAAGGGUCUAGGAGUUCAUUGGUCCCAUAUCAGACAACACCAAGCUCGGCUUAAAUACUAUUUAUUCAACUUUGUAGCAAAUACAUGCGUCAGAGAAUAUUAGUUUACUGAAAUAAGUAUUUACAUCAUUUACCUAAAUUAUUUAAGUUGAGUGUGAGAGUUAGUUGGUUCCUGCAUGCUGGUUUUAAAGUUUUGCUACUUUUCUAUUUCCUGCUCUUACUGUGAGUGUAGAUUUGACCACAAUGCAAUUAGUUAAAAAAUAUUGAAGGCAUAAAAAGAAAAGCUGUUGUGUUGAGUGCGAAAUGCUUUCAAACUGUUGACCCUUUGCAGUUUGCUUCCUCUAUGCUGUUAGCUCUCCUGCUAGCAAUUGAUACACUGCUGCUGCCAGCUAGCACAGUAAGCAGAGAACAACUGAAGUGACCUGAUGGCCCCAUAAAUCUGACCUUUGUCACUGAUACACGAUCCAGCUCUUUGAGUCAGGAGUGGACAGAGAUUGUUUCCAAAUAUUAGGUACGUCACUAGUUUUGAAAUUAACUUGGGGGAAAAAUUGGUAAAGCAGCGAGUUAAGGUCUUAGUUAAACAGUAUUAGAAGCUGAUCAGUGACCCUUCUGAUAGUUGGUGAGUGUUUGCUAGCGUGAAAUUGGUCGCAGAGAGGUAUAUGGUGCUGCACCAAAAACCUCCAUGUGAUUGUGAAGUGAAGACACUUGCAAACUACUCGCCAAGUCCUAGUGAAACUCUGAAAAAUGCAGCACAAACCAGAAAUGGUGAAAUAUAUGCUUUACUUUUCAGUUGCACGACAGCACACAACAUAAAUAUCAAAUGCUGACGGACAAAUCGACAUAUUUCAUGCAAAUUACAGGUGACUGUGGCAGCCUGCUAGUGAUCAAAACAAUCACAACACCUUCGUUAUGACCAUUGUCACCUUGCAACAGCCAGCAGCCACUCACCAACCAGUUGGGAAAUGCAGAUUUCUCUAGUAAUUGGGAAAGCCAGAUGAUCUCUGACUGAGGCUUAAGGAAGGCUAUGGAAUCAUCCACAAUGGCAGAUCAGUUCAUCUACAUACUUCAGAUCCAGCUUUCUGUGUAUGGACAUGGUCGGGCAGGGAGCUAAUAUUGCUAAAUUUAAACUUCUGCUUAUUUUGACUGUAUUGCUCCUGGUUGAAGUAUCGUCCUUUAAUCAGCAGCUAAAUCUAAGAACUGGUCAAAACCAGCUGUAUUCACAAAGUGUUGGCAAUGAAGCAGUGUUGUUGAGUCUGGUUUGCGUAGCAGGUUUUGAGAUAAGCGUUCAAGAUGUCAUUCUUUUUAGUUAAAAAUGCAUUUUUGACAUAUUCAGUUUCUUUGGAAAGUUCCCUUGUAGGCAGCUUCAAGCCUCAUCCCAUGGGUAUUUGUUUUAGUUGCCUCUAGGAAAUGGGGCAAAACACAGGUGGUGGUUGAUGCUAUGCUUCUGUGAUCCCAUACCCCCUUCGUAUAAACCAUGUUUCUGUGAAGCUAUAAAGACACGAUGCCACAAUUUCCUUCCACCAGUCUGCAAACAUUGCCAUGUGUGAUUUUGUUUGACAAGACUAAACCUAGUUUUCUGCUGUUGGAAGGCAGCUAUGUUGUUCUUGAACCAUUUACGUGUUACCAUAAAGUUCUCGAGCUAUUCCAAGCUACGAAAAAGUUUUGACACAGUAGGAGUUCAGUCUUUCUCGGGGGUGAAAUGAAGUUUGUGCACAUCUGAAAGCACAGACUUUGUGCGACCUGUGGGAGUAUUGCGGUUGCUCGCUGCUGGAGAGGAAUGCUUCUUGCUUCGGGGGUGCCCUGUACUGAGCUGAGCUAUACCUGUGGAGUCUAGGGAGACUGCAGUAGAGGUCUGCUGAACUCUAAAAUAAAGGUUUUCUGAAGACUGUAGCCACAUUUGAAAAUGGCCUAACGCAAAAAAAAAGUGUAAUUUUUAAAGUAAUGGUGCUCGUUUCUGCUUCUCAACAUACUUCAGCAUAACAAAAGAGAUAACAAUAAUAAUAAAUAUGUGAAAAUAACGUCUUAAAGGCAUCAUUACUUUUGAUCAUUAUGUAGUUUAGUAUUUUUCUAAGCCACUGCCUGUUCUGAGACUCUUGUUGUCCAAGAGAACUUUUGUUUUACGGUUAACUAUGAAGAGAUCAUUGUGUAGUUCUGUUUUUAGGUUUUGUUCUUCAGCCUUCAUUAUAGAAGUAAACGCAGUGCACAGCAUUGGAAAAAAUUGUCCCAAUUAAACGUAACAAUUAGCAGCUAUAAAGUCAAAUUAGGACACUUUAGAGAACACAUGCUGUUAAACAUGUUGGUCUAAGCAAAAGUGUAAUAGAUAUGAAAACUUUCAGAGCUUUAAGUUUCCAGGAUGUUUGGCAAUGCUGCAGUAAAGCAGACAGCAGCAGCUUCUGAGUGCAGCACAUCAGCUUUGAAAAUGAACGGGCAUUAGGACACUUCAGAGCCACCAGUUUAGUUUUGGGUUUUUUGUGGGGGGGAUCUUCUUGAAAGAAAACAAAAUUACAGUGCUGUCCACUGCAGCACUCUGUGGGAGAGCCAUCCAUUUGUGUUUCAGCGGCUGUUUGCAGAACACACACAAAUGAACAAAUAUGGGCAAACACUCUCUUCUCUCUCUCCCCCAGUCUUUCUUAAACACACACAUGCAAACAACCAGAUACUGUAUUAUGCAAGGUUUGUUCAGGGAGGGGACGUGGAAUCGGAGAGCAAAAGAAUAACUGAAAUAUUUAUGUAGCAUCAGCCACAACUGGGAUUGUCUUAAAUAUGCUGCUUUUAUCUGAAAUUAAGCCGCUGGUUAGAGGACUUCCUCACUUUGUCUCAGAGGAUUAGCGGGAGGUGUGGAAAACAUCGUGGCUGCUUAGUCUGUGUAAUGCCACACAUAACUACCUGCUGUCUAGGGAAAACUGCUGACGCAUUCUCAUUUGAUUAAGUUCAACUUUGUUGGGAUUCUUUCACAGGACCAGUGAUGAAGAAAAUGGUGCAUUUCCUGUGGUCAUUAUGAGCCUUUGGCAUUCUGUUGCUUCCUUUUAAAAUGUAAAUGUGUACUCAAAUAAGCAGAAAGACUGCACCGCGAGUCACCUUCGUUGGUGCCGGAGAUUUGUGCACUUUAAAGUGAAACGUUUUGGGGGUUUUGUUGUUGUUGUUUUUU